GGCACAUAGAUGGGGAUGCUGCUGGUGUCAUAGCGUAUUUGUUUCUCCAUAUCCCAAGAAGGAGGCAGAACACAUGCUGCAGAGGUCCCAGGCCUGAGCAGACCACCACAGGCCACUGGGAGAGGCUAAGAAUCAGAACUUACCUUGGCAAGGAAGUACCAAAAUUUAGGUAUUGCAAACUUCCCUGAGAAGACAGACUCCACCAUGAAGGCGAUCAGACAGUACAAGAGUGAGUCCCACAGGAGCAGCAGCAGCACCUGAGCGAAGCUAAAGUCUCCUUGGACACUCCCUAUGUUCCUCCACUGGAUGCCCGUGCCUUUUGCUUUGCUGUGUACAUCUCUCAUGAAGGGCUGGACACCCAGAAGUCCAACAUAAGGAGGCUACCUAUUCUUCAACUAGAAACUACAGAUAUGUAAAUCAAAGUAAGUCUUUCUCUUUACAAGUUAUUUAUUUCUAGACAAAUUUUUAAAAGAGGGGACACCAAAAGCAAUGAGACUAAUAUAUGUGGAAACUACAUUACCAGUAAUGUUCACUAUUUUCUGAGCUUCUAAUCAUAAAGUUAUAUAUUUCAUAUCUAUAGAAUUAAAUAAGCAUAUACUUUCUAAUCAUUUUUUUUCAAACAGAGUCACUCUGUUGCCCAAGCUGUCUGGAUGGAAUUCCUGGGCUCCAGUAACCUUCCUGCUUCAGUCUUCCAAGUAGCUGGGACUAUAGGCCCAUGCCAACCUGUUUGGCUCCAAUUUUCUAUGCUUUAGUUUCCCUUCCCAUAUCCAUAUCUAUGCUGUAAGCUUUUUGUUUGUUUGUUUUUGUUUUUUGAGGCAGGGUUUCUCUGUGUAAACCUGACUGUCCUGGAACUUGGCCUCCAAGAGAUCUGCCUCCCAAGUGUUGGGAUUAAAGAAUGUGACACCACCACCCAGCUUAUGCUGUAAGAGAGAUGAAUCGGACUCCUAUUGCCAUGGCAACAUUUGAGAAGAGGCAAAAGGCUAUCUUUUGGACAUAGGUCCUCUGGUGGUAACUGAAAGUGAUGUACAGGUAGGGGAGGAACAACAAAAUAGAGACCAUUACAGAAGAACAAGUGAUCAUGUAAUGCCAGCCCCAACUGAUACAUCUACAACACAGCACUGAAGCUCAAGAGUCAUAGUGGAAGAGGCGGUAAAAAUCUUAAGAUGCAAAGGACAAAGAAGUUUUCUGCGGUAUUGCAUCUUCUGAAAAUAUCCGAAAGCUAUACUCAAGAAAUCUCGCCAGCAUCUCUACCUAAACAAGACCUGAACAAAGAUGACCCGAUAGACAUAUUAACAUGGAAGCAGGAAAUCUUAUGGGACCCCAACCCUAAAAAAUGAAUUACAUGCAAGUAAGGAAUACUGGAGUGGGAGAAAUAUUUUUCCCCAGGGAAGAGCUCUCCAGUUCUUUAUUGAAUACCAAGUGAUUAGCCUUGAAAUCGUACACAUACAAGUAACAUUAUACUGAUUGAUCAGGUUGUAUUUAUAUAUUUAGGAAUACAUGUAUAUGUAACAACAGUUAAAAGCGGGAUCAUAAAUUUGAGAGAGCAAGAAAAGGAAAAAUGAUGUUAUAAUUAUAAUUUCAGAAAAAAAGAGCACCAAGUGCUCUUAACUGCUGAACCAGCUCUUCAACCACUCCCCCUUUUAAAAAAGACUUUAAAAAUGUGUGUCUCUGUGUGCUUCUAUGCACCACAUUGUACAGGUGUCUGCAGAACAUAGAAGAUCCCUGGGAACUAGAGUUAAACCUGGGUCUUUAGCCAGAACACUGAGUGCUCUUAACUCAUUGAGCCAUAUCUCCAGCCUCCUGGUCUAUAUAGUCUUACUGUGAUGUCUUUUAUGAGUUUGGUGUGAGAUAGGAUUUUUUUUUAGUUGCAUGGGUUAUUUUAUUUAUUCUGGAUACAUGUCUUUUAUAUUAUUCAUAAUUUCUAAAAUGUUUCCCCAAGGAUAUAGAUUAUCUUUUUACUUUAUUCUUCCCUACAUAUUUGCUAUGUUGUACUCAUUGGUCUGGUUUUUUGUAACAAAGAUUGGUCUUGAAUUCAGAGCAAUUGUCUUGUCUCAGCAGCCCAGGUACUGGAGUUGCAGACAUGAGCCAACACUUUUUGUUGUUGAUAGUGAUGCAUGGUCUCUCUAUCAUGUAGCUCUGGCUAUUCUGGAACUUACUAUGAUGUAGACCAGGCUGUUCUUGAACUCACGGAGAUCCUCCUGCCUCAGCCUCCUGAGUACUAGGAUUGAAGGUGUGCACUACCACCACCCGGCCUAACUUUCAAAGUUUUAACCUUAGCUCUUUUUUUUUUUUUGAGACAGUGUUUCUCUGCAUAGCCCUGGCUGUCCUGGAACUCGCUCUGUAGACCAGGCUGCACCUGAACUCACAGAGAUCCACCUGCCUCUGCCUCCUGAGUGCUGGGUUAAAGGUAUGCACCGCCACCACCCAGCACCUUGAGCACUCUUAAACCUCAAUUGUAGACAUCCUUCCAUGCUCAUACUCUUUCUAAAUUCCCUAACUUGACUAGUGCCCCUUUAUGCUUGCUAUGAAACUAUGGAGGGGAAGUGGAAUUCAAAGUUUGAAUCCUCCUCCAUCUUGGCAAAGUCAGUAUUUUUCCAGGAAUCACAUAUUACAGCGUGCUAUUUGAUAUAAAAACAUUCGUAAAUAUGAAUAAUACAUUUCUCUUUCCUGGUUCUUGUAAACACUGUCUUUUGGGGCAACUGCUGAGCUCAUUUUUCUCUUAAUGAAGUGAGGGUAACUAACUCACUUCAAUUCUCCUAUCAUUUCUAUCUUCUAUGAUUCAUCAAGUCAUGUAUAAAUAUUUCAGAUGUAAGACCUCCAACAGGACCAAA